rnacentral:rRNA from 1 species
GCAAGUCGAACGGAAACAGCAGUGCUUGCACUGGCUGUCGAGUGGCGAACGGGUGAGUAAAGUAUAGUUAAUUUGCCUCUUGGAGAGGGAUAGCCAUUGGAAACGAUGAUUAAUACCUCAUACUCCUUUCUUCGUAAAGUUGAAAGGGAAAUGCUUUAGUGCCAAGAGAUAAGACUAUAUGGUAUCAGGUAGUUGGUGGGGUAAGAGCCUACCAAGCCAAUGACGCCUAGCUGGUCUGAGAGGAUGAUC